ACAGCAGGGAUCUUGGGCCCGGGCAGAGACUGGCUGAGGCGGGGAGCAGCUGCUUUUGGGGCGGGGGUGUCACGUGAGGCUUCUCGCUGCUGAGGGAGGAGGCGAAAAGCUGCGGUUAAGGAGAGUCCGGUUUAACCGUCACCGGGAAGCGCGCUCGUUCGGGAUCGCCGAGGGGGCUGAGUACUGUCAAGAUGAUAAGCAUGGAAUAAAGCUUCAGAAGGGUCUUUACCAAUCUUUCUCCUACCAACUUUUACAUACAUGAAAUCAGGUUAAAAUGAACUUUACAGAAAUACUUCACAAGGGAAUAAAGUAGAGGAAAAAGGGAUAACAUGUAACAUGGAGUCAAGGAAAAAGAGUGUGAAGUAGUUUUGCUCUCUCUAUCUUGCAAAUAGGAGUCCUUAAAGACAACUGGGAGAAGGGGUUUGAGAUAGUGAAUUCCUAAGAAGAAAAUAAUGGAUUGCAUAUUAGUUGUUCUCUAAGUGGACUCAACAGUGUGCAAGCUUGUUGGAAAAGCCAAAAGAAGAUGGCAACUCCUUAUGUCCCAGUUCCUAUGCCCAUAGGAAACUCUGCUUCCAGUUUUACAACAAACAGAAAUCAAAGAAGUUCUUCUUUUGGCAGUGUCUCAACAAGCUCAAAUUCUUCUAAGGGCCAGUUAGAAGACUCAAAUAUGGGUACAGCUUCUUCCAUUGAGUAUUCUACUAGACCAAGAGACACUGAAGAACAAAAUCCGGAAACAGUGAAU
rnacentral:lncRNA from 1 species